rnacentral:rRNA from 1 species
UACGGAGGGUGCAAGCGUUGUCCGGAUUUAUUGGGUUUAAAGGGUGCGUAGGCGGCCUAUUAAGUCAGUGGUGAAAUCCUGCAGCUUAACUGUAGAACAGCCAUUGAUACUGAUAGGCUUGAGUUCAGACGAGGUAGGCGGAAUUUAUGGUGUAGCGGUGAAAUGCAUAGAUACCAUAAAGAACACCGAUUGCGAAGGCAGCUUACUAGACUGAAACUGACGCUGAGGCACGAAAGCGUGGGGAUCAAACAGG